AAGAUUUUAGUUAAAGAAUAACAGUAGUCUGUCAGUCUACAAUUACAAUAAAAAUGUAAAUCUUA
rnacentral:tRNA from 1 species